GAUGAACGCUGGCGGCGUGCCUAAUACAUGCAAGUCGAGCGAACGGACGAGAAGCUUGCUUUUCUGAUGUUAGCGGCGGACGGGUGAGUAACACGUGGAUAACCUACCUAUAAGACUGGGAUAACUUCGGGAAACCGUAGCUAAUACCGGAUAAUAUUUUGAACCGCAUGGUUCAAAAGUGAAAGACGGUCUUGCUGUCACUUAUAGAUGGAUCCGCUCUGCAUUAGCUAGUUGGUAAGGUAACGGCUUACCAAGGCAACGAUGCAUAGCCGACCUGAGAGGGUGAUCGGCCACACUGGAACUGAGACACGGUCCAGACGCCUACGGGAGGCAGCAGUAGGGAAUCGUCCGCAAUGGGCGAAAGCCUGACGGAGCAACGCCGCGUGAGUGAUGAAGGUCUUCGGAUCGUAAAACUCUGUUAUUAGGGAAGAACAUAUUUGUAAGUAACUGUGCACAUCUUGACGGUACCUAAUCAGAAAGCCACGGCUAACUACGUG
rnacentral:rRNA from 1 species